UACGUAGGUGGCAAGCGUUGUCCGGAUUUACUGGGCGUAAAGAGCGCGCAGGCGGUCGUUCAAGUCACGUGUGAAAGCCCCCGGCUCAACUGGGGAGGGUCACGCGAUACUGAUCGACUCGAAGGCAGGAGAGGGUAGUGGAAUUCCCGGUGUAGUGGUGAAAUGCGUAGAUAUCGGGAGGAACACCAGUGGCGAAGGCGACUACCUGGCCUGUUCUUGACGCUGAGGCGCGAAAGCUAGGGGAGCAAACGGG
rnacentral:rRNA from 1 species